GAUGAACGCUGGCGGCGUGCCUAAUACAUGCAAGUCGAGCGAACAGACGAGGAGCUUGCUCCUCUGACGUUAGCGGCGGACGGGUGAGUAACACGUGGAUAACCUACCUAUAAGACUGGGAUAACUUCGGGAAACCGGAGCUAAUACCGGAUAACAUGUUGAACCGCAUGGUUCAAUAGUGAAAGACGGUUUUGCUGUCUCUUAUAGAUGGAUCCGCGCCGCAUUAGCUAGUUGGUAAGGUAACGGCUUACCAAGGCAACGAUGCGUAGCCGACCUGGGGGGGGGUCGGCCCCCUCGGGAAGUGACCGACGGCCCUGCGUCUAAGGGAAGGCGCAGGUGGGAACCGUACGCAAAGGGGGGAAACCUUGAGGGGGAGACGCAGGUGGGGUGCAGAAGUGCUGCGGGCGGGAAAACGUUGUUAUAGGGGAAGACCAAUUUCGUAGGUAACGAAGCACGUGUGACGGUAACCGAUUAAGAAGCCCCGGCUAACUACGUG
rnacentral:rRNA from 1 species